CACCCAGUAGCACAUGGACUGUGCAUCCGCCUCAAGUUCUAUGUCCUCCAAGUGCGUAAUUCAAGUGGAGUAACCCCGUUCAAUUCGGGGCUGGGUGG